UGGGGAAUAUUGGACAAUGGGCGCAAGCCUGAUCCAGCCAUGCCGCGUGAGUGACGAAGGUCUUCGGAUUGUAAAGCUCUUUUGGCGGGGACGAUAAUGACGGUACCCGAAGAAGAAGCUCCGGCUAACUUCGUGCCAGCAGCCGCGGUAAUACGAAGGGAGCUAGCGUUGUUCGGAAUCACUGGGCGUAAAGCGCACGUAGGCGGAUAGUUAAGUCAGGGGUGAAAUCCUGGGGCUCAACCCCAGAACUGCCUUUGAUACUGGCUGUCUCGAGGUCGAGAGAGGUUGGUGGAAUUCCUAGUGUAGAGGUGAAAUUCGUAGAUAUUAGGAAGAACACCAGUGGCGAAGGCGGCCAACUGGCUCGAUACUGACGCUGAGGUGCGAAAGCGUGGGGAGCAAACAGGAUUAGAUACCCCCGUAGUCCCUGAGCGGGCUGGCAAGGCGCAU
rnacentral:rRNA from 1 species